AGGCUUUAGUGGCGCAGCUAACGCGAUAAGUAGACCGCCUGGGGAGUACGGUCGCAAGACUAAAACUCAAAUGAAUUGACGGGGGCCCGCACAAGCGGUGGAGCAUGUGGUUUAAUUCGAUGCAACGCGAAGAACCUUACCUGGCCUUGACAUACUAGAAACUUUCCAGAGAUGGAUUGGUGCCUUCGGGAAUCUAGAUACAGGUGCUGCAUGGCUGUCGUCAGCUCGUGUCGUGGGAUGUUGGGUUAAGUCCCGCAACGAGCGCAACCCUUUUCCUUACUUGCCAGCAUUUCGGAUGGGAACUUUAAGGAUACUGCCAGUGACAAACUGGAGGAAGGCGGGGACGACGUCAAGUCAUCAUGGCCCUUACGGCCAGGGCUACACACGUGCUACAAUGGUCGGUACAAAGGGUUGCUACACAGCGAUGUGAUGCUAAUCUCAAAAAGCCGAUCGUAGUCCGGAUUGGAGUCUGCAACUCGACUCCAUGAAGUCGGAAUCGCUAGUAAUCGCGGAUCAGAAUGCCGCGGUGAAUACGUUCCCGGGCCUUGUACACACCGCCCGUCACACCAUGGGAGUUUGUUGCACCAGAAGUAGCUAGCCUAACUGCAAAGAGGGCGGUUACCACGGUGUGGCCGAUGACUGAGGUG
rnacentral:rRNA from 1 species